CCUGCCCCUAGAGAUGCUGCAGGUGUGGCUGCUGUGUCACAUGUACACCAGUAGGUGGCAGAGAGCAGAGAGGCUAUGUCUAUGCUCAGUGUUCUGACCUGUGACCAUCCGAAUGGUCAGUAGCCUAACAGU